UCAACCUACGGGGGGCAGUAGGGAAUUUUCGUCAAUGGGCGCAAGCCUGAACGAGCAAUGCCGCGUGAACGAGGAAGGUCUUCGGAUCGUAAAGUUCUGUUGAAGGGGAAAAAAGGCAGCAUCAGGAAAUGGGUGCUGACUGAUGGUGCCCCGCCAGAAAGUCACGGCUAACUACGUGCCAGCAGCCGCGGUAAUACGUAAGUGGCGAGCGUUAUCCGGAAUGAUUGGGCGUAAAGGGUGCGCAGGCGGUCCUGCAAGUCUGGAGUGAAACGCAUGAGCUCAAACCAUGCAUGGCUUUGGAAAAU
rnacentral:rRNA from 1 species